UAAUUGAAGAGUUUGAUCAUGGCUCAGAUUGAACGCUGGCGGCAGGCCUAACACAUGCAAGUCGAACGGUAACAGGGAGCAGCUUGCUGCUUCGCUGACGAGUGGCGGACGGGUGAGUAAUGUCUGGGAAACUGCCUGAUGGAGGGGGAUAACUACUGGAAACGGUAGCU
rnacentral:rRNA from 1 species